rnacentral:rRNA from 1 species
UAGUCCACGCCGUAAACGAUGGAUACUAGCUGUUUGAACUUCGGUUUGAGUGGCUAAGCGAAAGUGAUAAGUAUCCCACCUGGGGAGUACGUUCGCAAGAAUGGAACUCAAAGGAAUUGACGGGGGCCCGCACAAGCGGUGGAGCAUGUGGUUUAAUUCGAUGAUACGCGAGGAACCUUACCAGGGCUUAAAUGUAGAUUGACAGCUUUAGAGAUAGAGUUUUCUUCGGACAAUUUACAAGGUGCUGCAUGGUUGUCGUCAGCUCGUGCCGUGAGGUGUCAGGUUAAGUCCUAUAACGAGCGCAACCCCUGUUGUUAGUUGCCAGCACAUUAUGGUGGGGACUCUAACAAGACUGCCGGUGCAAACCGCGAGGAAGGUGGGGAUGACGUCAAAUCAUCACGGCCCUUACGUCCUGGGCCACACACGUGCUACAAUGGUAACUACAGAGAGUCGCUACUACGUGAGUAGAUGCUAAUCUUCAAAAGUUAUCACAGUUCGGA